UUCUUGAUCCGGGCCCCUCUGGCGACCCGGCGAUGACCUGAGCCUGCCUGCAGGGCCGGCUCGGGUGAUCGCUCUCGUGAUGUCGGAUCGACUUC
rfam:Roseomonas sp. M3 M3_S294_L001_R1_001_(paired)_contig_127, whole genome shotgun sequence.